GAUGAAGAACGUAGCGAAAUGCGAUACGUAGUGUGAAUUGCAGAAUUCAGUGAAUCAUCGAAUCUUUGAACGCACAUUGCACCUCUCGGUAUUCCGGGAGGUAUGCCUGUUCGAGCGUCAUUUGUACCCUCAAGCUCUGCUUGGUGUUGGGUGUUUGUUCCGCCUCUGUGUGUGAACUCGCCUCAAAACAAUUGGCAGCCGGCGUACUUGUUUCGGAGCGCAGCACAUUUUGCGAUCCAGAUCAACGUACAGCGGCGUCCAAGGAGCCUUAUUUAACGCUCUUGACCUCGGAUCAGGUAGGGAUACCCGCUGAACUUAAGCAUAUCAAUAAGCGGAGGA
rnacentral:misc_RNA from 1 species